GAUGAACGCUGGCGGCGUGCCUAAUACAUGCAAGUCGAGCGAAUGGAUUAAGAGCUUGCUCUUAUGAAGUUAGCGGCGGACGGGUGAGUAACACGUGGGUAACCUGCCCAUAAGACUGGGAUAACUCCGGGAAACCGGGGCUAAUACCGGAUAACAUUUUGAACCGCAUGGUUCGAAAUUGAAAGGCGGCUUCGGCUGGCACUUAUGGAUGGACCAGCGUCGCAUUAGCUAGUGGGUGGGGUAACGGCUCACCAAGGCAACGAUGCGUAGCCGACCUGAGAGGGUGAUCGGCCACACUGGGACUGAGACACGGCCCAGACUCCUACGGGAGGCAGCAGUAGGGAAUCUUCCGCAAUGGACGAAAGUCUGACGGAGCAACGCCGCGUGAGUGAUGAAGGCUUUCGGGUCGUAAAACUCUGUUGUUAGGGAAGAACAAGUGCUAGUUGAAUAAGCUGACACCUUGACGGUACCUAACCAGAAAGCCACGGCUAACUACGUGCCAGCCGCCGCCGUAA
rnacentral:rRNA from 1 species